AUUGAACGCUGGCGGUAGGCCUAACACAUGCAAGUCGAACGCGAAAGUCCUUCGGGAUGAGUAGAGUGGCGGACGGGUGAGUAACGCGUAGGAAUCUAUCCUGUAGUGGGGGAUAACGUUUCGAAAGGAACGCUAAUACCGCAUACGCCCCAAGGGGGAAAGCGGGGGAUCUUCGGACCUCGUGCUAUAGGAGGAGCCUGCGUCGGAUUAGCUAGUUGGUGAGGUAAAGGCUCACCAAGGCGACGAUCCGUAGCUGGUCUGAGAGGAUGAUCAGCCACACCGGAACUGAGACACGGUCCGGACUCCUACGGGAGGCAGCAGUGGGGAAUAUUGCGCAAUGGGCGAAAGCCUGACGCAGCCAUACCGCGUGUGUGAAGAAGGCCUUCGGGUUGUAAAGCACUUUCAGUGGGGAGGAAAAGCGUGGUGGCUAAUACCCAUCGGCCGUGACGCUACCCACAGAAGAGCACCGGCUAAUUCCGUGCCAGCAGCCCGCGGUAAACACGAGAUAA
rnacentral:rRNA from 1 species